rnacentral:rRNA from 1 species
GACGAACGCUGGCGGCGUGCUUAACACAUGCAAGUCGAGCGGAAAGGCCCUUCGGGGUACUCGAGCGGCGAACGGGUGAGUAACACGUGAGUAAUCUGCCCCAGGCUCUGGGAUAGCCACCGGAAACGGUGAUUAAUACCGGAUACGACAACCGAUUACAUGAUCUGGUUGUGGAAAGUUUUUCGGCCUGGGAUGUGCUCGCGGCCUAUCAGCUUGUUGGUGAGGUAAUGGCUCACCAAGGCUUCGACGGGUAGCCGGCCUGAGAGGGUGACCGGCCACACUGGGACUGAGACACGGCCCAGACUCCUACGGGAGGCAGCAGUGGGGAAUAUUGGACAAUGGGCGGAAGCCUGAUCCAGCAACGCCGCGUGAGGGAUGACGGCCUUCGGGUUGUAAACCUCUUUCAGCACAGACGAAGCGCAAGUGACGGUAUGUGCAGAAGAAGGACCGGCCAACUACGUGCCAGCAGCCGCGGUAAUAC